rnacentral:rRNA from 1 species
CCUACGGGUGACAGCAGUGAGGAAUAUUGGUCAAUGGACGAGAGUCUGAACCAGCCAAGUAGCGUGAAGGAUGACUGCCCUAUGGGUUGUAAACUUCUUUUAUAUGGGAAUAAAACGUUCCACGUGUGUGAUUUUGUCUGUACCAUAUGAAUAAGGAUCGGCUAACUCCGUGCCAGCAGCCGCGGUAAUACGGAGGAUCCGAGCGUUAUCCGGAUUUAUUGGGUUUAAAGGGAGCGUAGGUGGAUAGUUAAGUCAGGUGUGAAAGUUUGCGGCUCAACCGUAAAAUUGCAGUUGAAACUGGCAGUCUUGAGUACAGUAGAGGUGGGCGGAAUUCGUGGUGUAGCGGUGAAAUGCGUAGAUAUCACGAAGAACUCCGAUUGCGAAGGCAGCUCACUGGACUGCAACUGACACUGAGGCUCGAAAGUGUGGGUAGCAAACAGGAUUAGAUACCCUUGUAGUC